AAAGCUAAAUGGCGGUUUGAAAGGAAGAAAUGUUAAAACUAACGGAGUGAAAGAGGUUCACUACAGAGGAGUAAGAAAGAGGCCAUGGGGACGUUACGCUGCUGAAAUCCGUGAUCCCAGCAAGAAGAGCAGGGUUUGGUUAGGCACCUUCGACACGGCGGAAGAGGCGGCAAGGGCUUAUGACGUCGCCGCCAGAGCGUUCCGAGGACCCAAAGCCAAGACGAACUUCCCGUUGUGCAGGGUUUGGUUGGGCACCUUCGACACGGCGGAAGAGGCGGCAAAGGCUUAUGAUACCGCCGCCAGAGAGUUUCGUGGACCCAAAGCCAAGUCGAACUUCCCCUUGCCGUCGGAGAAUCAGUGUCCCAGUAACAGCAGUGGACCAACAGAGUCGUCCAGUGGAGAAACCGGUGUUCACGCUCCUCACGCACCCUCUGAGCUCGACCUCACGCGCCCCCUUGGAACCCUCGCUGUAGGCGGUGACCAUGGUGGUUGUAAAUCAGAAGUUGGAUUGGUGAGAAAUGGGAUUCCGAUUUUCCAUCAUCAACCUGUUAUGGGAGUUCUGACUAGUGACGACAGUGGCGUUGCAGAGUCCUCUAGUGGAGAAACCGGCGUUCACGCGCCUCUUGAGCUCGACCUCACGCGCCAUCUCGGCGCCGUUGGUGAGGGUGGCAACCAUGUCCGAAAUGGGUUUCCCGUUUUUUAUCAGCAACCGACAGUGGCGGUUCUGCCUAAUGGCCUGCCAAUUUUGUUGUUCGACAGUACUUUUGUGCCAACCGG
rnacentral:lncRNA from 1 species